rnacentral:rRNA from 1 species
AAUGGGCGCAAGCCUGAACCAGCCAUCCCGCGUGAAGGACGACGGCCCUAUGGGUUGUAAACUUCUUUUGUACGGGAAGCACGUGCGCUAUGUAUAGCGUAUUGACGGUACCGUACGAAUAAGCAUCGGCUAACUCCGUGCCAGCAGCCGCGGUAAUACGGAGGAUGCGAGCGUUAUCCGGAUUCAUUGGGUUUAAAGGGUGCGUAGGCGGCCCGGUAAGUCAGCGGUGAAAGUUUGCGGCUCAACCGUAAAAUUGCCGUUGAUACUGUCGGGCUUGAGUUCAGAUGAAGUGGGCGGAAUGAGUAGUGUAGCGGUGAAAUGCUUAGAUAUUACUCAGAACACCGAUUGCGAAGGCAGCCCACUAAACUGCGACUGACGCUGAUGCACGAAAGCGUGGGGAUCGAA